UGCUAGCAGUACUUUCUCACCUUGAUUCAUUCUGUUCUUAAACUACAAUGAAUCUUGCGGGGAGAGAAUGGGCUUCUUUCAUUUGUCAGGGUUGUAAUUCUCCCUCGAUCAAGUGGAAAUGAUUCUAGCCAAUGAUCUGAGCUCCGCUCAUCUAAGAAGGCAGCAAUUGGCGAUUAGUCUGUGCUUCCUCGCAUCUCAACAACAGUAAGAUCAAAUAGGGUUUUAUGUGUUGUUUCCUUAUCUAAGACAUAAACUGAUUCUUUUUUCGUGUGUGGUUAGUUUGUUAAUGUGAUGAACAGAAGAUCAUGGAACCGGCAGAAAUUAUUUGUCCUUCGUACUGUAACUGUUGACUUCUGUUUCUUCUAAGAGUGCGUGGUUUUUGGUUUUCAUUCCUUAAAGCCCUAGAUUUUCUGUAUUCAGAUUUGGGGUUUCUACGAGCAGACACGUCUGAAAUUGCCGUAUUUGCUGCUCUUGUCUUGUUCUGAAAUCCCUAAUUUUCUGUUACUUAUAUGUACUAACAUAUCUGUAUGGAAACAUAAUCAGAACUAUCUCAGCUGAACCCUGUAAUUUGGUAUAUGUUAUUGUGGCAUGCUUCUUCAUUAACAAAUAGCUAGGCCAAGUAUGUUAUUCUUAUCUGUUGGAGCAAAAUUGACUUUAAAAUGUUUUCUUUAAAGGGUUUUCAACCUCUUUUCAAUCCUUAAAGCCCUAGAUUUUCUGUAUUCAGAGUUGGGGAUUCUACUAUUAGAUACUGCUGAAAUCGCCUUAUUUGCUGUUUUUUCUUGUUCUGAAUAUCCUUAAUGUUCUAAAGAAAAUUGAUCCGCAAGACUCAAAUAGCUUCUGCGCAUUUGUAUUAGGUAACACAAUGAGUAACUUAUCUGUAUGGCAGCAUAAUCGGAGCUAUCUCAACUGAACUUUGUAAUUUGGUAGAAGAAGGAAGGAAGGUGCUGCAACGUGUCUCCACCCAGCCCUCGAUGUCAUGUUCUCCAUUUCCACCAAAAUGAGUCCCACCACAGAGUCGAGCUAUGACCCCUGCAAUAACAGCAACAAUGGUGAUGACUGCCAGCACCACCACCAGGAUCUCAAUCGAUCGGUUUGUAGAAUAGCUUCCAGGCUCAACCGCUGCCACCAUUUCCGACGGUGGCUCAACUAGAGGUGCUAGACUGUUUUGUACAUGCAUAUUAUAUCCACCACUGGCUUAAGCUAGUGCAAGUGCUCUUCUUAUAUAUGGUUGUAGGCUCAUCUCAAUGUCAAUCUUUUUCUUACACUUUAAUCAGUAGGAAUAAUAAAAUGCAUCUUUUGUUGUGUUUAUAGCUAGCUAUAAAUCUAUUUUAUGUUACCAAUUUGUCCUUACCGGUA